rnacentral:rRNA from 1 species
AUUGAACGCUGGCGGCAGGCCUAACACAUGCAAGUCGAGCGGAGGAAGGGAGCUUGCUCCUGGAUUCAGCGGCGGACGGGUGAGUAAUGCCUAGGAAUCUGCCUGGUAGUGGGGGAUAACGUCCGGAAACGGGCGCUAAUACCGCAUACGUCCUGAGGGAGAAAGUGGGGGAUCUUCGGACCUCACGCUAUCAGAUGAGCCUAGGUCGGAUUAGCUAGUUGGUGGGGUAAAGGCCUACCAAGGCGACGAUCCGUAACUGGUCUGAGAGGAUGAUCAGUUACACUGGAACUGAGACACGGUCCAGACUCCUACGGGAGGCAGCAGUGGGGAAUAUUGGACAAUGGGCGAAAGCCUGCUCCAGCCAUGCCGCGUGUGUGAAGAAGGUCUUCGGAUUGUAAAGCACUUUAAGUUGGGAGGAAGGGCAGUAAGUUAAUACCUUGCUGUUUUGACGUUACCAACAGAAUAAGCACCGGCUAACUUCGUG